rnacentral:rRNA from 1 species
GGAAUCUUCCACAAUGGACGCAAGUCUGAUGGAGCAACGCCUCGUGAGUGAAGAAGGCUUUCGGGUCGUAAAACUCUGUUGUUGGAGAAGAAUGGUCGGCAGAGUAACUGUUGCCGGCGUGACGGUAUCCAACCAGAAAGCCACGGCUAACUACGUGCCAGCAGCCGCGGUAAUACGUAGGUGGCAAGCGUUAUCCGGAUUUAUUGGGCGUAAAGCGAGCGCAGGCGGUUUGAUAAGUCUGAUGUGAAAGCCUUUGGCUUAACCAAAGAAGUGCAUCGGAAACUGUCAGACUUGAGUGCAGAAGAGGACAGUGGAACUCCAUGUGUAGCGGUGGAAUGCGUAGAUAUAUGGAAGAACACCAGUGGCGAAGGCGGCUGUCUGGUCUGCAACUGACGCUGAGGCUCGAAAGCAUGGGUAGCGAACA